CUUUGACCUUUUUGUCUCCUUCAUAAGGAUUCUUGUGAUUACAUUAGGUCCAUGUAGAUAACCCAAGAUAAUCUUCAUAACUUUAUCACAUCUACCAGUUCCUUUUGCCAGGUAAGGUAACAUAUUCACAGGUUCUGGAGAUUAGACAUAGAAUUCUUUUGGGGACCAUUAUUCUAUUUACUGCAUUAUCUUAACAAUAUUAAAUCUUCCAAUCCAUGCACAUGGGAUGUCUUUUCAUUUAAGUCUCCUUUAAUUUAUUUCAAUGAUGUUUUGCAGUUUUCAAUGUACAAGUCUUACAUUUAAUUUGUUAAAUUUACUCCAAAAUAUUUUAUUAUUUUUUGUGCUUUUGUAAAUGGAAUUGUUUUCUUAAUUUUAUUUUUGGAUUGCUCAUUGCUAGUGUAGAGAAAUACAAAUGAUUUUUUGCAUAUUGAUCUCAAGAAAUCUUGUUAAACUCGGAGUUUCUUUUUGGAAUGAUGAAAAUAUUCUGAAUUAGAUCGUAGUGAUGGUUAUGCAACAGUGAAUAUCCUAAAAAAUCACAGAAUUGUAUACUUUAAAGGGGCGAAUUUUAUGGUCUAUGAAUUGUAUCUCAAUAAAGUCAUUAUUAACAAACAAACUAUACCAUUUGGGAAUGGCCAUCAAAAAUUAAAAUGUGAAUUAUUCUCUCAAAAUGAGGUUGGAGGGGUGUGAGAGGAAAGUUGGGGACCAGAAGUGCCCAUGUUUUGAUACAUUCUCUUAUUACUUCCAGAUGGGAACUCUAUAAGUUGCAUAUCCUGAUUUUGUAUGUUUGGUGGAAGAACUUCUCUUCAUAGCUCUUUUGUUCCUAGACACACCAAACUCCUGAAUGGCAGAGGGCUUUGGCUUUUGUUCUCUACCUGAGUCAUUCUCUCCCCAGAUCCUUACAUGGCAGGCUCCUUCUUGCCAUUCAGGUCUUGGUUAUGAGAGGACUUCCCUGCCAAUCAAAUCUAAUCUAAAGCAGCUUCUCCAAUGCAAUCGUUCUUUAUCAUACCACUGUGUUUUUUCUGUCAGGAACUGGAAUGAUUUUCUUUAUUAAUUGCUUACUUGCUUGUAUAUUUCUUCCCUGUAAAAUGUAAGCUCUAUCACAGCAGGGAUCUAUACUGUUUCAUUCACUAUAAUAUAUCUCCAACUUCUAGGAUAUAGCUGGCACAUAGAAGAUGAUCACUAAAUUUUUAUUGAAUGAAUGACGCAUAUCAUUAAGGAGAAAAGUUGGCCAGGCGCAGUGGCUCACGCCUGUAAUCCCAGCACUUUUGGAGGCCAAGCAUUAUUGUGGUAAUAGAUAACGAAUACAAGAAUCAAAGGGAAGGAUGAGUAUUCUGG
rnacentral:lncRNA from 1 species